AUUGAACGCUGGCGGCAGGCCUAACACAUGCAAGUCGAACGAGUGGCGGACGGGUGAGUAAUGUCUGGGAAACUGCCCGAUGGAGGGGGAUAACUACUGGAAACGGUAGCUAAUACCGCAUACCAUCGGAUGUGCCCAGAUGGGAUUGGCUGGUAGGUGAGGUAACGGCUCACCUAGGCGACGAUCCCUAGCUGGUCUGCGAGGAUGACCAGCCACACUGGAACUGAGACACGGUGCAGAUUCCGACGGGAGGCAGCAGUGGGGAAUAGUGAACAAGGGGUGAAAGCCUGAUGCAGCCAUGCCGCGUGUAUGAAGAAGUACUUCGGGUUGUAAAGUACUUUCAGCGGGGAGGCGUUACCCGCAGAAGAAGAACCGGCUAACUCCGUGCCAGCCGCCGCGGUAAUAC
rnacentral:rRNA from 1 species